GGAUGAGGGCAAAGACGCUCCAGGCGCUCGUCUCCGUAGCCGCCAUCUUGGAUAGGGGUAAUUUCCUCCCAACUUCCGGCGCACAAUCCGUGUGGGCAUCCAGCGCCAGGUUUGAUCAGGUUAAUGUGAACCUGGGCCUCACUUGUCAGGCCUGUUCUUACGGAUAAUUUGUCUCUGGUCAUUUGCUAUCUUAUGACCAUCUCUUCCUGCUGGAUCCAAAUGAUAUGUCCUGGUCCUCGGUAACUUUAGCCUCUACCAGGUACCAGCCAACUCGGGGAAAUAGCCUUCAACAAUUUCUUCCCUGUCUUUGGAUUUUUUUUUUUUUAAACCUGCUCUCUUGGACACUCCCAACAGUCUCUAAAGGAGAAGAAUUGGAACAUGGGGCAAGAAGUACUCAUGGUUAAGCAGUCUUGGCCAAAGAUGGAUGAUCUGUAUGAAGGCUUUGCUGUCCUGGAUCCAAGGUAUACAAUCAGUUCCCUGGGGGUGGAGAGAGUUUCUGGCAUAAACUCAGUACCUGUGUGCCAGGUAGGGGCUUUCACAGACCCAGGGACUGACUAUGCCUGAACUCCGUUACUCUUGAUAUCAAUCUAAGAAUGAGGAGUUAUUAUGUCAAUUUACUAGAUAGUGAAACUGGGGUACAAGCUACCAAUUAUAGCAAGUAGCACUGUAAAGCUCCAGGGAGCCUUAGCUUACUGGGGACCCCCAGAGUAAACCACGUGGAACCGGGAUCUAUGCAAAAAGCAAGAGGAAUUUAUUAUUCCAGUGCACUGAGGAGACCUGAAGGAGAGGCGGAGACCCCCAGCAGUCGUUUGGUGAGUUUUUAUAUGGUUUCCAGGGGCAGAAUAUAGCAUCAGCAACUAGGCACAAUAUGAUUGGUG